rnacentral:rRNA from 1 species
GACAAACGCUGGCGGCGUGCUUAACACAUGCAAGUCGAACGGUCUCACUUCGGUGAGAUAGUGGCGGACGGGUGAGUAACACGUAGUUAACCUACCGUUUAGUGGGGAAUAACCCCUCGAAAGAGGAGCUAAUACCGCAUAAGCUCUCUUAUGUUAGUAGGAGAGGAAACCCUUUUCGCAAGAGAGGGGGCUAAAUGAUGGGACUGCGGCGGAUUAGCUAGAUGGUGGGGUAAAGGCCUACCAUGGCGACGAUCCGUAGCUGGUCUGAGAGGACGACCAGCCACACUGGGACUGAGAUACGGCCCAGACUCCUACGGGAGGCAGCAGUGAGGAAUAUUCCACAAUGGGCGAAAGCCUGAUGGAGCGACGCCGCGUGAGGGAAGAAGUCCGUUUUCGGGGUACGUUAAACCCCUUUUCUUGGGGGAUGAAUACGGUCGGGAGCCGCAAGGUGGCUCGACUAGGACAGUACCCGAGGAAUAAGCAUCGG